GUGGGGAAUUUUGGACAAUGGGCGCAAGCCUGAUCCAGCAAUGCCGCGUGCAGGAAGAAGGCCUUCGGGUUGUAAACUGCUUUUGUACGGAACGAAACGGUCCUGGUUAAUACCCGGGGCUAAUGACGGUACCGUAAGAAUAAGCACCGGCUAACUACGUGCCAGCAGCCGCGGUAAUACGUAGGGUGCAAGCGUUAAUCGGAAUUACUGGGCGUAAAGCGUGCGCAGGCGGUUUUGUAAGACAGGCGUGAAAUCCCCGGGCUCAACCUGGGAAUUGCGCUUGUGACUGCAAGGCUGGAGUGCGGCAGAGGGGGAUGGCAUUCCGCGUGUAGCAGUGAAAUGCGUAGAUAUGCGGAGGAACACCGAUGGCGAAGGCAAUCCCCUGGGCCUGCACUGACGCUCAUGCACGAAAGCGUGGGGAGCAAACAGGAUUAGAUACCCGUGUAGUCC
rnacentral:rRNA from 1 species